UUUUUAUAUAGAAUUAAGCAAAAGGAAACAAGUCUAUGUACCUUCUGUAAUGAGGAAGAGGAAACAAUAGAACAUUUAUUUUAUGAUUGUAAUGUUACAUACAAUUUUUGGUUGUCAUUUUUACAGAAAAUUAAAUUAUUUGAUGAGCAUUUCAGCAUUAGUAAGACGGAAAUUUUAUUGGGAUUUAUUACUAAGAGUUUGUUUAUAAAUUUGUUAAUAAUUAUAGCUAAAAACUACAUCUUUAGAUGUAAGUUAAGAAAUAUAGCUCCUAGUUUUAUAGGACUUAAAUUCAGAAUAAAACAAUACCAAUCUAAUGAAUUUUAUAUUGCAAACAAAAAUAAUAGAGCAGCAUCUUAUGAAAGAUUCUGGUCCCCACUACAUACAAUUUUUUUCAUGAUUUAUUAUCAUUUAUACUUUAAAUUAUACUAUAGUGAGCAGUGGUAUUUUGAAUUUUUACUUUAUAUAUAGACAUGCAUGCAUACUAAUGGUAAGAUUGCAGCGACUGUGUGUAAGUAGUGAGAUAAAGUGUGAGUGUGAGCAGCUAUAUUCCUUUUUUCUAUAAUAACUAUAUUCUUGUAUUAUGAAGAUAAUUUAAUAAAAAAAACAAAAUGGAUAGUCUUGUAUAUAACUUUCAAUAUUUACCCCAAAAACCAUAGUCAGGUGGUGAUUGUAGGGGUAUUGUAAAAUCCUGACUAUUGAAAAACAAAUAAAAGAUAAAAAAAAAAAAAAAAAA
rnacentral:lncRNA from 1 species